CAGUAGCCGCGGUAAUACGUAGGGUGCAAGCGUUAAUCGGAAUUACUGGGCGUAAAGCGCACGCAGGCGGUCUGUCAAGUCAGAUGUGAAAUCCCCGGGCUUAACCUGGGAACUGCAUUUGAAACUGGCAGGCUAGAGUCUUGUAGAGGGGGGUAGAAUUCCAGGUGUAGCGGUAAAAUGCGUAGAGAUCUGGAGGAAUACCGGUGGCGAAGGCGGCCCCCUGGACAAAGACUGACGCUCAGGUGCGAAAGCGUGGGGAGCAAACAGGAUUAGAUACCCCGGUAGUCCCUGUCUCUUAUAU
rnacentral:rRNA from 1 species